UGGGGAAUAUUGGACAAUGGGCGCAAGCCUGAUCCAGCAAUUCCGCGUGGGUGAAGAAGGUCUUCGGAUUGUAAAGCCCUUUCGGCGGGGACGAUGAUGACGGUACCCGCAGAAGAAGCCCCGGCUAACUUCGUGCCAGCAGCCGCGGUAAUACGAAGGGGGCUAGCGUUGCUCGGAAUGACUGGGCGUAAAGGGCGCGUAGGCGGCACGGACAGUCAGGCGUGAAAUUCCUGGGCUUAACCUGGGGGCUGCGUUUGAUACGUUCGAGCUAGAGGAUGGAAGAGGCUCGUGGAAUUCCCAGUGUAGAGGUGAAAUUCGUAGAUAUUGGGAAGAACACCGGUGGCGAAGGCGGCGAGCUGGUCCAUUACUGACGCUGAGGCGCGAA
rnacentral:rRNA from 1 species